CUUUUUACUCUCUGAAUUUUUUCUUUUUGAUUUUUCUCCCCUCCCUUUACUCUUUGUAAACCUAAAAUUACAGGCUUUAUAGGGUUUCAUUUGAUUCAUGCUCUU